rnacentral:rRNA from 1 species
UGUAAGCGUAUACCAAAGUUGUUGCAGUUAAAACGCUCGUAGUCGGACCUUGGCAGUUCCGGAAGUGUGCACGUCGUGUGCGCACUUUGCAGGGACUGCUUUUGUGGUCUUGCGUAGGAUGAGGCACUUUUAUUAGUGAACGUCCUCACGCAACCACUCUUUACUGUGAGAAAAUCAGAGUGCUCAAAGCAGGCAUUUGCCGUGAAUGUAUUAGCAUGGAAUAAUAGAAUAGGACUCGGUUCUAUUUUGUUGGUUUGUUGGGACUGAGUAAUGAUUAAGAGGGACAGUUGGGGGCAUUUGUAUUUCGGCGCUAGAGGUGAAAUUCUUAGAUUGCCGAAAGACAAACUGCUGCGAAAGCGUCUGCCAAGGAUGUUUUCAUUGA